AUUGAACGCUGGCGGCAGGCCUAACACAUGCAAGUCGAACGAGUGGCGGACGGGUGAGUAAUGUGUGGGAAACUGCCCGAUGGAGGGGGAUAACUACUGGAAACGGUAGCUAAUACCGCAUACCAUCCGAUGAGCCCAGAUGGGAUUAGCUAGUAGGUGGGGUAACGGCUCACCUAGGCGACGAUCCCUAGCUGGUCUGAGAGGAUGACCAGCCACACUGGAACUGAGACACGGUCCAGACUCCUACGGGAGGCAGCAGUGGGGAAUAUUGCACAAUGGGCGCAAGCCUGAUGGAGCCAUGCCGCGUGUAUGAAGAAGGCCUUCGGGUUGUAAAGUACUUUCAGUGGGGAGGCGUUACCCACAGAGGAAGCACCGGCUAACUCCGUGCCAGCCGCCGCGGUAAUUC
rnacentral:rRNA from 1 species